AAAGAUUUUAGAAUAUAGGGAUUUA
rnacentral:piRNA from 1 species